rnacentral:rRNA from 1 species
UGGCUCAGAGCGAACGCUGGCGGCAGGCCUAAUACAUGCAAGUCGAGCGCCCUUUCGGGGGAGCGGCGGACGGGUGAGUAACGCGUGGGAACGUGCCCUUUGGUACGGAACAACUGAGGGAAACUUCAGCUAAUACCGUAUGUGCCCUAUGGGGGAAAGAUUUAUCGCCAUUGGAGCGGCCCGCGUUAGAUUAGCUAGUUGGUAGGGUAACGGCCUACCAAGGCGACGAUCUAUAGCUGGUCUGAGAGGAUGAUCAGCCACACUGGGACUGAGACACGGCCCAGACUCCUACGGGAGGCAGCAGUAGGGAAUCUUGCGCAAUGGGCGAAAGCCUGACGCAGCCAUGCCGCGUGAAUGAUGAAGGUCUUAGGAUUGUAAAAUUCUUUCACCGGGGACGAUAAUGACGGUACCCGGAGAAGAAGCCCCGGCUAACUUCGUG